rnacentral:rRNA from 1 species
UACGUAGGGUCCGAGCGUUGUCCGGAAUUAUUGGGCGUAAAGGGCGCGUAGGCGGCCACCGCAAGUCAGUUGUGAAAUCUCUGGGCUUAACCCAGAAAGGUCAACUGAUACUGCGGGGCUAGAGUGCAGAAGGGGCAACUGGAAUUCUCGGUGUAGCGGUGAAAUGCGUAGAUAUCAGGAGGAACACCGGUGGCGAAGGCGGGUCUCUGGGCAGUAACUGGCGCUGAGGAGCGAAAGCGUGGGGAGCGAACAGG